GGGGGGGCCUACAUUUUCCUGGAUUAUCUUGUGAUCUUGGGGCAAAAAGUGACCUUCCUCCAUUUCUCCACAUUUUGUUUGGAUGCCAAUCUGCAACCAGCACCUGUGUUUGCCACCACAAGGCCUGAUGCUGCCUUUCACCAUCAUCUGGGGAGGCCUGUGAAGCAGUUACCACCUCUCAGCUGGGUUUCAGUAAUGACCUGUAAGAGGGUAUAAAUGAAGUCAUGUGGAUCACCUUGCCUCUUUCAGUGAGCAUAGUGCAGGCAGUUACUGAGCACCUGCUUUGUGGGAGAAAGUUAUGCUUGCUCUUAGUCUGUGGUUUCCGUGUGUUAUCAAAAGCAAUCAGCAUUCUAUGGAGCCCUCAAACUUUACUGUGAGGAUCAUCACUAAGAAGCAUUUAGUGCAGAAGGGUACCAGCCAGCACCAGCUUCACCGUUCCCUACUCCAUGUUGCGAGUGGAGUUUGUAG
rnacentral:lncRNA from 1 species